CCUUUCCGGAAGAGGAAACACCAUUCCAGGGAUAUGUUUUUUUAACCGCUUGUGGUUAUCUAUUUAAGCAUGCAUAUAAGAUCACUCAGGAACUGAUCUUCAAGAGGGAGUGCAACAAAGCGUUAGACGGGGCUCAGGGUUAAGUGGGUGACUCGGGGGCCAGAAAGAGUCUGCCUCGCACGGUUGUCAUGGCGAUGAAAUGGGACCAAUUCCACAAAAGUCACCUUGAGCUUCUCAGGCGGGAUUAUAAUAUGGCUGCUUAUAAAGCAGUGUUGGAUUUCUAUACAAGGAGCAAAAUGGCUUGCCUGCUCAGUCUUCACCUGCCAAGAAGGACAAGCCUAGAAGAGACUGUCCUGCCAAGGGCCAUCAAGCAAGUUUUGAUCAGCAGCAGGACUUGAACUCGGGACUUCCUGGUUCAGCGCUCGAUCCCUUGGUUACCACAUUACAAUGCCAUAGCCUUUCCCAGAUGCAUAUCUUUUGGGCAGUGCUGGCUGGAGCUGAUGGGAGUUGUAGCCCAAAGAUCUGGAAGGACUUUGGAACCUGGAAACUUAUCCGACUUCCCUGGACAGUUUGAAGGCUACAGGAGGACCAGAAAGCAGCAGCACUUCAUAGAUAAGGACAGAUGACCUUGCCAAACCCCAGCGCUCAUAACCAAGGAUCACCUCUUUUACAUCUUUACUUGAAAGUUCUUGCCAUAUUCACUUAUUCUUCCACCGUCUGCCUUCUGCUAAUUUAAAAGCGCAGGCAAUGCCUGUUCUUUCAGUUAAUAACAUGUUAAAAUACAUAAUCGCCUGACAAUGUAUUUUCACAAUUCAAAAGAUACCUCUCAUGCCGUCUUCAGACAUGCUAUUAAAACCCUUUUUUGUUUGU